rnacentral:lncRNA from 1 species
GCUCUUCCUUAAUCUUCAUAUCUUGUUGGAUAAGAAUAUUCAGAAGUGCUUGUUUGAUCUACAAAAAAUAAGAAAGAGAGUGUAAAAGUUGUUUGUACAAAAGAAUAUUCCAAGCAUAUUCAAGUCAUCCAAAAGAAGAAGGGAACAAAGGAAAUAUUCAAGUACAAUUGAAAGUAUAAGGGAGGGGGGACCAAUACAAUUCAAAUCCAUUUUGAAGCUUGAAAAGACUCCAAA